rnacentral:tRNA from 1 species
CAAUGGAUAUUUUAUUUAAAAUAUUAAUUUUGGAGAUUAAAGAAGAACUAAUAAGUUUUCCGUUG